CCACUCUCCCGACCUGAGCUCCAAAGGCUUAGGCCUCGCUCCUCCUCUACACAGAAGCUAGCCCCCACCCUGUUCCAGGAGCUGGGGACAUGGGCCUGGGAGAGAGAGCAAAGCCACUCUGCCCUGCCCAGUCCUGUGUCCUGAGUCACACAGGCUGCGCCCAAGGGCUUCGCCAGCUGCCUCUCCUAGUCAGCCUGUAGACCUAGGGCUGAAGGCGCAGAAAGGGGCUGGACGCCCCAUUACUCCCGGCUGGCCUGAAGAAUCGCCUCAUUGGCGUAGGAGAUGAGAUGGCCUUGCGCUCAGUGGCAGCCAAUGGCCGGGGUCUCCUGCGCGGGAGUCCGUCCCAUUGCCAACUUCAGGAGUCGGAGGACCACAGAGCGAGCUAGAGCCACGGCACUGCCGCCGCGUCCCCCAGCGUCCCUUCCAAGGCACUCACCGCGUCCUCUCAGGGCCCCUCGGUGGGUGGGGGGAUCUGGCCACGCUCGGUCCGGAGUCUUACCACUCCCGGGUUCGGGCCACCGCCUCCUGGAGCGCGCCGAGCCCUCCCCCGGGAAGCCCGGCCCCCUGGGCCCGCCCUCUCCGCGCCGCCACCGCCCCAACCUCACAGACAGCAUCCCCAUUGCAGGGACUGCUGGCAUCCGGGCGCCGGGUGGCUCUUGGGGGGGGGAGGCUCUGCUCCCCGGUGCAGAGUGGGAGCCAACAGUCUAAGGUGGCGCUGCGAGGCUAGCAGAUCGCUAUAUUUCAGCUUUGCCGCUCUUCGACUUCUGCAGAGCCCGAGAGGCCGGUGGGAGUGAGCGGGAACCUGCACCCGCAUCAUUGGGAUGUGGGAACAACAAUGCUGCAUUACAUUCUUUGCUAAGAGCACCUUUCUUAGAAGUUAGCCCCGGGGAGGCUCGCAACCACCCUCUCCAUGUAAGCCUUAGAAUUCUGAAGUCAGAAAAUGGGGCUUAAAGAGAUCUUUAGCGGUUUGCCCAUACAUAAUCUCUAGUCCGGCAGAAGCGAGGUUGUAAAGCCGUGCCUACCUAGCCCACCUCUGCUUGCAGCUCUAGCGCGCAUUCUGAGACCUGGGACAAACACGGGGUGGGGAUGGAACAAAAAAAGCCACGAACUCCACCCCCUCCGUCUUCAUAGUCCCAGAUUUUGUACCUCAGUUCCUCCCUAAAUCACUUGGUCUCUUCACCUCCUUGUCCAAUGUAGACUUUUCCCGAGUCGUCACGAUGCCACCCCACCCUAAAUAGAUCCCUUCUUCUUCACUUCCCCACCCCCAGCCUCUCGGGAUUUCAGAGCCUGUGGGUCUGUUAUUUAUAUCCACUGGAGCGGUCCAAGAAUGUUCUGAAGCUGACCUAAUCGCCACCUGCUUGGCUUCCCCACCCCUCCUGCUCUCUCCGGAGACUGGUGACCCAGCAGCGGUGUCCCGCGCCCAAGAGACAAGACGGAACGCUGGCCAGCGGGGUCUCUGGUGCUAACGGGUCCUGGAGACACAAUUCGCUCCGGGCUGGAGAGCCCAGGGGACCGCCCCCAGGGGACCGCGCACUCUCUGGGAAGCAACAGGCCUAGCUGUUCUCUUUCCGGCACGUACAUUUCCCACCCAGCCCCCUUCACUCCCUCAGAAGUGUGAGUCCAUGCGCGCGGAUUUUUAAAAGACAAGUUUAAAAAUAGCAAAA